rnacentral:rRNA from 1 species
AUACGUAGGGGGCGAGCGUUGUCCGGAAUGAUUGGGCGUAAAGGGCGCGUAGGCGGCUUUGCAAGUCAGUAGUGGAAGUCCAUUUUUCAAGGAUGGAAGUGCUACAGAAACUGCGGAGCUUGAGUGCAGGAGAGGUUAUCGGAAUUCCCGGUGUCGCGGUGAAAUGCGUAGAGAUCGGGAGGAACACCAGUGGCGAAGGCGGGUAACUGGACUGCAACUGACGCUGAGGCGCGAAAGUGUGGGGAGCAAACAGGAUUAGAUACCCUGGUAGUCCACACUGUAAACGAUGAAUGCUAGGUGUAGGAGGUAUCGACCCCUUCUGUGCCGCAGUAAACACAGUAAGCAUUCCGCCUGGGGAGUACGGUCGCAAGAUUAAAACUCAAAGGAAUUGACGGGG